GAUGAACGCUGGCGGCGUGCCUAAUACAUGCCAGUCGAGCGAACGGACGAGAAGCUUGCUUCUCUGAUGUUAGCGGCGGACGGGUGAGUAACACGUGGAUAACCUACCUAUAAGACUGGGAUAACUUCGGGAAACCGGAGCUAAUACCGGAUAAUAUUUUGAACCGCAUGGUUCAAAAGUGAAAGACGGUCUUGCUGUCACUUAUAGAUGGAUCCGCGCUGCAUUAGCUAGUUGGUAAGGUAACGGCUUACCAAGGCAACGAUGCAUAGCCGACCUGAGAGGGUGAUCGGCCACACUGGAACUGAGACACGGUCCAGACUCCUACGGGAGGCAGCAGUCGGGAAUCUUCCGCAAUGGGCGAAAGCCUGACGGAGCAACGCCGCGUGAGUGAUGAAGGUCUUCGGAUCGUAAAACUCUGUUAUUAGGGAAGAACAUAUGUGUAAGUAACUGUGCACAUCUUGACGGUACCUAAUCAGAAAGCCACGGCUAACUACGUG
rnacentral:rRNA from 1 species